rnacentral:lncRNA from 1 species
GGGGGAAGAAGUUUUCCAAAUGCAGCUGUUUUUGAAAUGAUUGUCACAACUUUGGUGAGAUAUUUUCCAUGUCUCUUUUAUUAUACUGAAAUUAGAAAAAUAUGAUAUGAGACUCGACUAAAGCAUAAUAUUAUUAAUAGUAUGUUGUUUGGGUGUUUUCUUACUGUUAGAAAAAAAUAUCCACAAAUUGUACUGGCCAAUCCUAUGACGGCGCUUUCAUUUACAUUUUUAAUAAAUAAAUAGUAUGAUUAUUGAAAUUCUUGGUAUUCUGUACAAACAUUUUAUUUUACAUAAUACAAAAUAUUUUCAAGAUUGAUUUAGGGCCAGGAUACAUACCACUUCAUUGUGAGCUAUGCAGUCCAUGAAAAGUGCUCCCCUGCAGGAGGAAAAUUAAUUAAUCAAUCAAUCAAUCAAUCGAAGGGGUGUCUCAAAGUAGUCUUUUCUCUUCUGAAGAAUAUGAAUGCUACACAGGUUAACAUUGUACAUUGACAUGCACCAAGGAAAACAAGGGGGUUCUAUCAGACCUAGCUAUAAUCCCACUGAAUCUAUU